AAUGCCGGAUGUUCCACAUGAUCGCAUGUGAUUGUGGGAAAGAUUCUAUCGGCGUGGGAUGGGGUCGCGUCCUAUCAGCUUGUUGGUGAGGUAACGGCUCACCAAGGCUUCGACGGGUAGCCGGCCUGAGAGGGCGACCGGCCACAUUGGGACUGAGAUACGGCCCAGACUCCUACGGGAGGCAGCAGUGGGGAAUAUUGCACAAUGGGCGCAAGCCUGAUGCAGCGACGCCGCGUGAGGGAUGGAGGCCUUCGGGUUGUAAACCUCUUUUGUUUGGGAGCAAGCCUUCGGGUGAGUGUACCUUUCGAAUAAGCGCCGGCUAACUACGUGCCAGCAGCCGCGGUAAUACGUAGGGCGCAAGCGUUAUCCGGAUUUAUUGGGCGUAAAGGGCUCGUAGGCGGCUCGUCGCGUCCGGUGUGAAAGUCCAUCGCUUAACGGUGGAUCUGCGCCGGGUACGGGCGGGCUGGAGUGCGGUAGGGGAGACUGGAAUUCCCGGUGUAACGGUGGAAUGU
rnacentral:rRNA from 1 species